rnacentral:sRNA from 1 species
GCCAGGUGUGGUGGCGCAUGCCUGUUAUCCCAGUGGCUUAGGAGGCUGAGGCAGGAGGAUUGCAAGUUUAAAGCCAGCCUCAGCAAUUUAGCGAGACACUAAGCAACUUCGCAAGACUUUUUCUCUA